AUGGACGAGGUGGAGUAUGACGUCACCAAGGCUCGGCAGAAGACGACCAAGGUGGGCUCCUUCCGAAUAAAUCCUGACGGGACGCAGGAGAGGAGAAAGACCCCCCUAGCCCACUCGGAGGUUUUCCUAACAGACCUGUUGGACCAAGUGUGCGAGCGGAUGAACCACUACCAGCUGGAAGAAGAUUCCGUGACUCGGGAGAAGAAGUUUAAGAGAUUUGCUCCAAGGGAAGGAGACAGAAUAUACAAAGAAUUUAAAAAAUUCCAUUUUUAUUCUGAUGCUUACAGACCUUUGAAAUUCGCGUGCGAAGCUAUUAUAGAGGAGCAUGAAGACGAGAUAUUCUCACUUACCGCCCAGGAGGCACACGACCUCGCUGACAAGCUGUGCAGUGAGAAAGCAGUUCAUGGACGCUGGACCCUAACAGGACUGUCCAGUUUACUCCCCGUGCGCAGACCAGUACGUGGGGGACCAUGGAGAAAACGCAUAUUACAUUCGCGAUGACCGUCUGGAUUUAAAAAGGCCCCAUCAGUGAGGUUUUCGUGAACGUAUGCACCCUGCCUUGAACGAAUAAAGAAAACCUCGGUGAAAGACGAGAGCAUCGCAGACGGGUCUGUGGAUACCUCUUCACCGCUCUGCGCUGCAUAAAAGAAAAGGCGUCAAAUACAUCCUGCUCUUGGGGUGUGAGACGGAGCAAUGGGACUACCCGAUAGACAAUCUGUCGCCGUCGUCGUUUGUCCCCAGGCAAAAAAAAGAGAAAUCUCUGUGGAGCCUCUGCUAACCUCGCGGAGCUCCUGGAUGGCACCUCUACCGGUUACUGAGGAGGAAAGUCACAGCCCACAGGUCAACGUCCGUGUUCCUAUCUUCACGUUUCCUCACGAAAACAAAGUUCACGUGUCUCGUUUAUACGGUGUUGUCGCACGUAUGACAUGGUGUUGAAAAUCUGUUGUUUGGUGUCUCGACAGACCCGAUUCUUUGGAUAGGGGAAGUUGAGGACUGCAUAAAACAAAUUACCCUUGUGGAUUCGGAUACAGACAGGGUCAGGAGUGAAGCAUUUAAGUGCCCAGGAAGAAAAAAACGGAAGGCAUUUCAUAAAUGAAAUAAGGAUUUGAUAACAUACACAAUAUCUUAUGCGCGUCUACAAGUAUAAUGUUCUAGUUGAUGAGAAAGAGCAUGAUGUGAGUUCUUAAAUGCUUGAUUGGUCACGAAGGUAAGAAAAUAUAUUGCCACAAAUUCCAGAUUAUGUCUUCUGGGUUCUAUACGGUGAUCGAUUAAAGACACAAACUUUCUUUCCAUCAGGAAGGAGAUACGAAGUUCCAGAAACCUUCAGUUUAAAAACGUAUUAAUCUCUAAAAUGUAACGGAAUGUGUGAAAAAAUAACGCUUUUCUCGCAAGCAAUAUGGUGGCCUUUCUUCCGCAUACCUUGUGAAUCCAGAUGAGUCAGAAAGUCACUGUGCUGUUACCUCGUGUGUUCUUCAAAGAUGGCACCAGUGACCGCGUUUUGUUUUGCCGCAAACUCUGUUGUGCGUGUGCGUCUCUGAAAAGACUUCCAGCUAACGCUUAGUGUGUGUAUUUUACCGCCAACUAAUCUAUUGUCCUCCCAUUUGGGUGUGUUCGUAGGUGUGGAGACAGAGGGGAGGUGGGACCGGAUGAAAAAUUACUUUUGACCCCACUUAAUACCAGAACGUAGUCGUCCUAGUGCUCGGCUUGGAUAUUUCAUUGUCUUCGUUAAACUUACAGUCGGUGACAUCUGACUGUAAUCGUUGCCGAUGCCGGGGCAUAUUCUGUAACUUAUUCUGAAGGAGAGAUGCUCAUUGUUGGUGGUGAGAAUUUACUAGGCAGGGUGAUAUAAAGUCUGCCCCCCGAGAGCAAAAACCGUCCGCCGUGUGUUACGUCAUUGCCUGGAAAUCACGCUGUUUAAACCGCUCAGCUGAUGCUUUGGGAAGAGACAAUUCUGGAACUUAGGAGAAUUUACCAAAAUUCCGGAGAAGCGGUUUCCGCUUUUUUCCUUCUCCCUCCCCACUUCUUGUCGUUAAGUUCACACCAUUUAUUUACUGGGGGGAGCGGAAAGGCACGUGGCUUUUGGACGUGUCGGCAGCUGGCUGCGAGUCGAGACCCUGCCCAGUGUAGCCCAGCGAGCCUGCACCCCAGCUGACACAAACAACACAGAAAGAGGAUUUCAGAAUAAUUAGCACCGUACUGCAGUCAGGUAGCGAAAGUGUUUAAAACGCAGCCCGCACAUCCGUGUGUAAACCUACCUAUUUAAGAUUCGUUCGGCAUCUCACAUAGUGAGUCAUAAACGUUUCCCUAACGUGGGCCUUGUUGGGAAGUGUGCUGCCCGGGGACUCGAUUCCUUGCUGAGCACGUGGCAGAGGCCCUGGCAGGAAGUGCCCAGUGCGACGGGACCUCUGGAAUCGUGUGGCAUUGUCUCCGCCUCCCUGGCGGUCGCUACAAAUUCUCAGAGACAGACGCGGCCAGUGCUGAUGGCGCCGCUCAGGAGAAUUGGGGCUCCCAAUUUCCAACCCGCACGAACACAAGAGGUGUGCCUUCUGUCCCCGAUCGGUGUCCCUUGUGGGUGUGGAUGCUUUUGCUCUGACGGGCGCGAACCACCCGUCUUGCCUCUGAUGGCGCACAUCUAAGGUUCCGCCAAAUACGGCUUUUCAGUUUUGUUCUUAUUUCCCGGUAAAAAAUAGGCUCGUCUCUUACAAGACUUUUGAUGCCCCACGACUUCUAUGUACUUUUUCCUUCCAGAAAGUUUUUUCCGGAUCCAACUUGCUAAACCCGUGUAAAUAUUUUUGGCUUUGCGAAGUUACCGAUUAAACGUCCGCUUGAGGGGUAGACGCGAACCUCUGCAUCUUUGGGCUGAGGAUAUUCUGGGGUUCCCUGUGGGGCACGGUCAAGUUGUGCUGCGUUUGCUAAUGAGCAAUAAUGAGACAGAGCAGUGGGUUGCUUUAGCGACCCUCUGAACCACACUCCUGCCUUUUUAAUGACGUUGAUUGACCAAAACCAAAGACAGCAAAAAGCCUGGGGGGAAAAAAAAGAGUCAGCACCCAGAGCGUGGCACAAAAGUUUCUUAGAGUCCGUGAAAAGCAACCUAAUUCUAGGUCAGGGAAAUUCCUGGAGGGGAAAAAAAGGUGGGGGGUGGGGGUGGGGCGUGUGAUGCUCAUGAAAAGACUGCGGAGGGUAGACGUGUUGGAGGCAGGGGUUUCGAGGUGUGUUUUUGUGAGGCCGGCUCUUUGGGUCUCUGCAGAAGAUCCUGCGCACCUGUUCUCCUGGAGAGAAACCAGGUUGGCCAAGAUGAGCGGUUUAUAUCCUGUUAUGUGGAUUCCCAUUUGCUAAGAAGCAGCCCAGGCCACUGAAUCCAUUUCACUGAGGACUGGAAAGUGGAAUUGAGCCAGAGUCCCAAAUGGGAGGGAUCAAUACUUUAUUUACUAAGACAAGCCCGAAAAAAUAGAGUCGGUUGCUGUUUAUAAUUGUUAUUUGUUCUACCUGUUUCUCUGCUCAGGUUGAUAUCUAUCCACGUAGGUGGUAGCGUUAGCUACAUAAAAAAGUUGAAGCUUUCAACCUUAAAAUUCAGGUUACAAUGGCGUAUGGGAAAAAGCCAUUCUUUGAUGUGAUUUUGUGGCCUGUGUUAAAAUCUGAUACAAAACUAUGAGCUCAUCUCAGAUCUGGAAACCCACUCAAUGGCGUUUUGCGUCGUUCUAUCCCACAAUGCACUGGUAGCAAAUUGUCACGAUACCUGUUACAUACGAGUGUGUGUUUUGUUAGGAUUUUCUGCCCAGGUCUUAAUGCCCCCUGCUACAUUCCUUACAGUCCGCAGAGUCACUGUUCCAGGGCAAGGAACUACACAGACAAAAGAUCGAAUGAGGUGCAUAAAAUUGAAAUAUGGAAUCAUAGACCUCCAUCGCCCAUAAGUCACCUCAGAAGAGGUGCAACGCACAGAUGAUGAUGUCGUCUCCGGACUUGUCCUUCCCGCCCCUCGGCCCCCAAACGUGGGUUUGCUGAGGAGGAGUGACCCACUCUUUCUGACCAUUUUCAGGAUCUGCCCUUCUCCACAGAGAUGGUGCUUACAGUGACCGUAACAGCAACUCAUCUGUCUGUAAGGACGUCACCUGAAAAUCCGGCUUGGCCUCCUGGGGACGGUUUGUAGACGAGUCUGUGGCAUCAGCCACAGGUGCGUGCCCUUCUGGGUUCUCUGAGGGUUCAGAGCGGAAACUUAGGUGCAGGCAUACCGUCCCACGCACAAAGGUGGGCCUGUCGUCUGGGCAGGGGGAAGUCAGCUGACAAAAAUAUCCUGUCUCACGACAGCGAGAUAUUUACAAACCACAUGCCAUCUGUUAAGAAGCUUGGGAAACAAGCUAUGAGGUUACACCGGAAAUAUGUCGGAACUGCAAUAUGGCUCAUUAGUACGGAACACGCAUUUUAUUGGACCACCCGCGGGUCAACAUCGUAUCCCCCAAAACGUAACGGCACAGAGUGGAGGCCGGGACAGCGAGGCGAGCGAUUAAAUAGGAGAGAGAGCGCCGCGUGCCCCCAAACCACCGUGGAAGCUGCACCGCGCACUUGGCUGAGCUAAGAUACCACUCGAGGCGCACACGCCUUCCUCGGAGCGGACAGAGAGGAGCUGCCUCCUCCUCCGGGAGCAUAAACGAACCAAUAUCUAAGGAAUGCAAGUUCCAUAAUGGGACGCCGGGUGCCCGAUGUCGGCUAAUUAAGCCUGGCUCCGACUCGGAAAGAUCCCGUAAGUGAGAAGUUAAAAUAUUAAUCCCGAUUUCGAACUGCACGACGAGCGAGGCUGGUACCUGAAGGGAGAGAAUGUACUCCUGACGUUUUAGAUUAAGGGUUCGCCUCAAAGCCGCCUUCCGAACAAGUGGGACUUUCUCUACAGCGUAUUCUCUGAUACCGGCCGAGGAAGGGCGAUGACAAUCCUUGAAGUGACACCACUGUCAACAGAGGGAGAGAAGAUUUCAAUCAGGUGGUUUUCAUUGUCUGAUAGAAACGAUCUUUAUGGCUUUGUUGUUCUUCAUCAAAGCGCACUGAUUAAGCACCUUCAUGCCCUGUGGUUUGUAGAAGAAAGCACGGAACCAAAAAAUAGACUAUUCGGUCCCCAUUAAAAAUGGACCCUAUUUAAAGCAACACGGUAUUAAAACAGAGUGAGGUCUAAUACAAAUGCAGGUUCAAUAAGUGUUAUUAAAUUAUUAGACCUUAAGGUGAAAAUAUACCCUUGAACUGCCCUUAUAUGCAAUCAGAGCUGUGAUUAAAUAUUAAUGCCCUAAGAUUAAA